UGCGUAGGCGGCGCUUCAAGUCAGACGUGAAAGCCCUCGGCUCAACCGAGGAAUUGCGUUUGAAACUGGAGUGCUAGAGUCUCGGAGAGGUUGGCGGAAUUCCAGGUGUAGGAGUGAAAUCCGUAGAUAUCUGGAGGAACACCGGUGGCGAAGGCGGCCAACUGGACGAGUACUGACGCUGAGGUACGAAAGCGUGGGGAGCAAACA
rnacentral:rRNA from 1 species